rnacentral:rRNA from 1 species
UGGGGGAUAUUGCACAAUGGGCGAAAGCCUGAUGCAGCGACGCCGCGUGGGGGAUGAAGGCUUUCGGGUUGUAAACCUCUUUCGCUAUCGAACAAGGCCCGCUUAGGGUGGGUUGAGGGUAGGUGGAGAAGAAGCGCCGGCUAACUACGUGCCAGCAGCCGCGGUAAUACGUAGGGCGCGAGCGUUGUCCGGAAUUAUUGGGCGUAAAGGGCUUGUAGGCGGCUUGUUGCGCCUGCUGUGAAAACGCGGGGCUUAACUUCGCGCGUGCAGUGGGUACGGGCAGGCAUGAGUGUGGUAGGGGUGACUGGAAUUCCAGGUGUAGCGGUGGAAUGCGCAGAUAUCUGGAGGAACACCGAUGGCGAAGGCAGGUCACUGGGCCAUUACUGACGCUGAGGAGCGAAAGCAUGGGUGGCGAACAGG